ACAGAUGAAAAACUGUCAAAUUCUCAGAUACGCCCAGAAAGGGCCUCAAGUGCAGCUUCCACCCUGGGAGCAGCUCUCCCAAGGCAUUCCAGGGGGCAAAGCCCCGCCAGCCCCGGGGCAGACUGGAAAAAUUGAGGAGGGGUGAACACAGCAGCUGCAGAAGGCACUGGCUGGCAUGGGUGUCGCGGGACACUGACGGGCACGGCAAUCCAAAUAUUUCCAAGCAGAUGCUUCACACAGAGCCGCCCCUCCAGCUAAAGCCCCUAAAUAAUAUACAGGAGUGUGCUGCUAAUUGAGCGUCUUCCCAACGGCCAAGAGGCAGGAAGACUCCGGUUAAAGGCAACUCCGCACUUUAACUUAAAUGAAGUCCUGAGGACAGGCUCAAACUACAAUAGGAAGUUUCUUUUCUUAUAUCCUUGAAUUUCCUGUCCCUUUUCCACACUGAAAUUUAAUUUCCUUUUCAAAGGGAGCUUUUGGAGCUUAUGAAAAUUGACCCAAAAGAUUACAAGGGCUUUGUCACCCUUCCAAUCUCUCUGAAAGAUCCAUAAUUAGGGAGGUUUUUCCUUUAACAUGUGUGCCCAGCAGGCAAAUAUAUAAUUCAGGCUUACAAUUACAUGAACGAGCUAUUUCAAUGUAUUGGAUACAUACAAGCCCAACCAUUACAAAAAAAAGAGUUCAAAAAUCUCGUGUGUUUCAGAGGAAAAGAUAGGCAUCAAGGCAUGUUUUUAAGGGUUUGUUUUCAUUUACGCCAGACUAAAUACAAUUACAGGAAGGACCUCGGAUGUAUGUUUCCUAUGAAGACGAAUAUAUCAAGUGCAAUAAAAACACACCUAACAACCAAACUGCUGACCUCAGAUGAGUCAUUUAUACUCCACUGGAAAUUAAUUGUGCAAGCAGAUAGGUGUGCGUGGAUACCGAAGGCAGCUGUUUGCCUUUUUUCCCCUCUUCUAACGGAGCGACACCGGCUCUCCCCUCUCGCCGCACAGCCUACCCGGGGGUGGGAGGGUAAUAAAAAUAAAAAUGAAAAACCACCAGGGUGCGGGACUCCGCCAGGCUGGACCCCCGGGCUGCUGCCCACCCUGUAGCCGAGCGGCCCUGCCGGCAGGUCUGGGGGAUGCCGGGGGCAGCCCGAGGGGGUCCCCCCGAGCGGGAGGCGGCAGGGGCAGCGCCCGGAGGUGCGCCUGGCCCCGGAGCCGCCUCGGCACCCGCAGCCUCCCCUCCGCCGCCCGCCCCCGCCGGGGAAAUCCCGGCUGCGUGGGGCGAAGCCGCCCCGGGCCAGACUGUCGGGGCAUCCGCCGGAGGAUGCUGCCAGGUCCGCCGGGGCCGCCCCCAGCUUCUAAACAAGACUAAUUAGAAAAAUAACAACUUCAGAGACGAACGAGGAGCUGGAAGGGAGGGGGAGGCUCCCGCCGCGCCUUUUGCAGCGGGAGGGAGCGGGAGAGCUCGCAGUCUACAGCUGCUAAUCCUUGUUUCUCUCUGCUGGAUAACAAUGUCCACUGGAAACAGAAUUGUCUUCAUUUGAAGGUCCUCCAUGCUACAAUCAAGUUAGCCUUGUGGUCUGCUUCUGGUGAAUUAACUAGAUUGAGCUUUUUCAGUCUCUCACGUGGGAUAUAUCUGGCCAGAUGUGAACUUCUACCCUACAGAUGGCUAUAUAGCACAAGUCACCAUCCCUUUGGAGUCAGCACAGAAAAAUGAGCCCUUCCAGGGUGAAGUUCAUUUCAUUCUAAAGUGGAUGUUUAAACCAGACCAGAUAAAUGUCCCUCACAGCAUUCCUAUUUCUCUCUAGCAACAAUCAAGGAAGCCUGUGCUGACUACCUCUCAUGUCACUGCCUGCAUUAUAGACCUCUGUAUUUAGGCAAGAUGAAUCUGACUCUUCAAUUAAGUCAUUUUCACAGUUUUGAAUCAUUUUCUUGGCUUUCUCCUCUGUGCAUCACACUGAUAGGACCUUGCAGCAUCUCCAGCAGACGCAUGGCAUUCGUGCCCACGUACAAGGAGGCCUCACUGGAGCAAGAGGAGGUAUGAGGAAGCAGUACUCUCACCCUCUGCCCAACGUGGAGGAUUUGGUGGGUUCAAUUUUCACAAGGAAGGUCUGAGACCCACAGAACUACCAUUUGACCUCUCCUAGAAUUUGGUUCUAGAAAAACACUGUCCCAUAAACAGUGCUGAUGGCUUGUUGUUGCUGUUAUUGUUGGUGGGCUUUGUUUGUCAUUUUUUCCUUCUGUCCAGAACAGUUUCUACUGCACAGAAAUGCUGUAUUCAGCCUUCAUCUGCUACUUUAUGCUAUAUGGAACACAAAGAAAGGUGCUAGAUGAGGAUGGCCAGGGAGCAGAGCAGGAGUCCUUGCCUGUGUCACUGGCUUGAAAUAAUCUGCAGGUACUGGGCAUCACCAGUCAGCCAACCCACCACACUGGGACCCUUGUGCCAUCAAGCCAGAUGGGGAGGAUAUCAAGCUUCCACCUCCCAAAGCUCUGUUCUUGGUGUAGGGAAGAGGAUCCAGACUCCCAGUUAAACCCUGCACAAGCUGCUGGCAAACAUUUAGAGACAUCAGAAAACAGUCCACACAAGCUCUCAGUUAAAAGAGGUGAUACGUAGAUCUCUUUGUGCUGUUACCUGCAGCCCCUGGAAGAUGUAAAAUCUUGUGGAGGAAGUGUUUGCUGAUCUCUGUCACCAGUGUAGUGAGAUGGGUGACUCAGUGUUGCUCUAAUUAAUGCGUGGAAAGACCUUUUCUGAAAUAUAUUUGGUAUGUUUCCCCCUGGAGACAGGAGAUAUCUACAGCAAGCACAUCCUCCCACACCUCUCCUGGGCACUAGAACUUAUUAGCAAAUCUCCUACUGAUGCUCUUUUACUAGGGCAGGUACUGCUGCAGCAACCAUGGUGGGAAAGGCAGGGUAAAUACAGCCUAGGAAAUUUGACAAUGUUUUUUAGCUUCGUCCUGUAUCAACUAACUAUGAAUCUAAUGGCAUACGCUAAAGGUCUGUGAUCUCACCUAAUCUGUAAAUAAAAUGCUUCUGUUUGAAGGAAGAUGGCUAGACCAGCCAAAAAUGAUAAUAUGAACCUCUGCCACCCUGGCAUCACCUUUAAGGAGCAUGGGGUAUCUUUGGUGUAUCCUUCCUCCAGGAAGUUGCCAUCGUGGAAGUUUUUCAAUGUUUUCACAGGGUUAUUUGCACAAGCAAGUCCUUAGCUCGUUGAGCAAAAAACCCCCAACAAAACAACCAACCUACCUGAUCAAGCUGCAAACAGAGAGAGAUGGCUUCAGGGGAAUAAAAACCCUAGCAAAGCACUGUGAAACAUUUGCACACUAGAGGUUAGCGUCAUGCCAAUUGUUUCUCACUGGAAGGAUUGACAGGGUUAAUUUGUUUUCAUAAAGUGGUAGAAAUUCGAAGCUCUGACAUCUGCCAGUACCUUGGGCCAGCAGGUUCAGAGAUUAUUGAUAUGGAUCACACAGACACACACAGAGCUUGACCAGGCAAACCCAAUUGCAUUGGUGAAAGUAGGCUUUAAAUGAAGGGAGAGACAGGCAAAGAAGUGUUUAUCUGGAAACUGGGACUGAAAGAGAGAACUGGCAGUGUAAGAUAGUUUCUAUUGUCUUUGCCUCACCCCUCAGAUUUUGUACAGUUGUUGCAGGGAUCCUUUGGCAAGGGUCAUUAGCAAGAGGCAGAGCAGACAAAUCUGAUCUGGGACUAACUCCUUCAAGCCAGGCAGAGGGAGGCCACUGAGACCACCCAGCAGGCAGAGAAGGGCUCUCCUCCUGGCAAAGAGAAGACAGCAAUGUGAUGCAUCUGUUAGCGUGCCUGUUUGCAGCACCCCAAUUACGCCUGACCAUGAAGUCUCCAUUAACGGCUUUACCUCCAAUGAGUUAGAAGUGAUCCUGCUUUCCCUCGUCUUCCCUUCUUCCUUUGUAGUGAUUUUUGGAUUCUUUGCUGGGUUUAUUUGCCACUGGCCACCUCACUCUGGGUUUUACACGCUUUUUUUUUGUGUAGAGUUCACAUGUAAUUGACACCAUCUCCUGUGUUAGCCACUGUGGUGGGUUGACCUUGGCUGGCUGCCAGGUGGCCACCCAACGGCUCUCUCACUCCCCCUUCUCCAGCAGGAGAGAAAAUAAGAUGAAAACCUCACAGGUCAAGAGAAAUAAAAAAUAAUUAUUCUCUACUUCCCAUCACCAGGCAAAGUCUAGCCACUUUCGGGGAAGUAGACCUUAAUGUGUGUAGUGGUUACUUCAAAAGACAAAUGCCUUAAUAACAUAUGUGUGUGUACCCCCCUCCACCAGCCUUUAUUGCUGAGCAUGACAUCGUAUCAUAUGCAAUAUCCUUUUGGUCAGCUUGGGUCAGCUGUUCUGGCUGUGUCCCUGCUCAAUCUCUUGCCCAACCUACUGGCCUUUUGGGGGGGAUUUGAAAGAAAGCCUGGAUGCUGUGUGAGCACUGCUUAGCACCAGCCAAAACACCGGUGUGUUACCAACACCAUGCUACGUACAAAUGGAAAGCAUAGCACAAAAGAAGGGGAAAGCUAUGGGGAAAUUUAACUCCACCCCAGCCGGACCCAGUACAGCCACACAGAGAAGAUAGGUAGAGCAGGGAAUGCAGGUGACAUCACACUGAACUGGCCUGGGGAAAUCAGCCUUUUUCUGAUUUAAACCAGUUUCUGUCCCUAUGAAGGCUGCGAGAAACACCAGUUCCCUCCAGUGACGUUCAAGACACGGCUUGGUGUAAACUCUGCCUUAAAUUUCACAAGUGCGUGCUCAAGACGACCUCAGACAAACUUUCCUGGCUGCGUGGAAAACAUUGAUAUUCUAAACAGAGUCCUCAAAAGUGCACUUCGUGCUCAGUGUAUGAUGUAUCACAAAAGCACAGAAUCACAGAAUGGUCAGGGUUGGAAGGGACCUCUGGAGAUCACCUAGCCCAACCCCUGCUCGAGCAGGCUCUCCCAGAGCAGGCUGCACAGAGCCACAUCCAGGUGGGUUUGAAUGUCUCCAGAGCAGGAGACCCCACAGCCUCUCUGGGCAGCCUGUGCCAGGGCUCUGCCACCCUCAAGAUAAAAAAGUUCUUCCUCAUACUCAGAAGGAACUUCUCCUGGCACCUUUUGUGUCCUUUUCCCCUUGUCUGAUAAAAUACUUUGAUCUGCAGGAUCCGAAAGACAACAGCUACUGCACCUGGAGUGGAAACCUGUUCUUCUUGUUUCUCUGGGAGCAGAUUCUUGUGUGGCUUUGGUGCCUUUCCCCACACCUCUGUGAACAAACGCAGGCUGUGAGCUCACCCAGGCUAGCAUCUCCCUAGGAAAAGUGUCUGUCAGGUCUCAGAUCUUUGUGGGGACACCAAAACUAUUGGAGUCUGUUGCUCUCCACUUCCUUUAUGGCUAAUAUGAAGGAACUAGGCACUGGGGGGAGGCUGUUCCUCUCAGUGGUUUUUGGGUGCUGCAAGAUUAGAUGAGUUGCAUCCUGUUCCCCUUGUCUCUACUAACUACACAUCCCCCCAUUGAAUAUAGGGUGCUGAGGAUGACUUCUUCAGAAGUAGCUUUCUAUAUGAUAGAGAUCUGUAGGUUGUCUUAGGACAGGCCUAGCAACAUGUGUAGGUAGCUUUAUGGCUUCCUGGACAUGUUGGACCAGAUAAAAUGCCAUCGCAGCUGAUAAACUGCCAGACUCUGCCUGGAUCUGCCUAUGCUGUUCAGGAAUUACUACACAAAACCACCGGUGUUUCUCCUACUCCUUAGUCAGAUACUUGUGCUCCUUGAGUUAUCUCUCACUUAGUAUUGAGGAAGAAGAGUUGAGUGAAUAACUGAGAAAACCUUACUUAAGUCAUCACACAACAAACCAAAUGGUCUUGCUGACCUCACAAUAUCUUACGUUGUGUCAACAGAGGGUCAGCCAGGCCAUUUCUGGGAGAUAGUUUUGGUCAUUGACAAAACUUUGACCCAGAAAAUUUAUAACUCCGGUUAAAAGUCCUCAGCUGUUUUUUAUCAUACUGAUUUACACUAGCUGAGUACCUGCCCUGCUGUGCCUCCCAAACCAGUACAGAUUUUUUUGUGCACAUUUCCUUUCUUGCUUUAGGAGCAAAACAACAAAAAAACCCCACAUCCCACCCCAUCAAAUAAAAAUGAGCAGUAAAUGCACAAAAUAAGCUUGCAAAAGGGAGAUGUGUCUUAGAAGAAAAUGGAAACUCUUCUGAGUGAGAAUGUUAUAGCCUAUGACACUGUCACGUAGCUGCAUUUCUGUAAUGGACACAAUAUAAUGAGUGCUACUCAUGAAAACUGGUUAUUAUAUCCAAGCUGGAAGUCAUAUUCUGGCAUAUACAGAGCCGACAAUUUGUUCACAGUGGGAGUUCUGCUGCUCUUCUGGUUUUCUUAGGUUAUGUCUAUAUCAUAAAGUAUCUGCAUAUUCAGGCUUACAUUGCUCCUUAAACUAUCCUGUCACCCACAAUUGAGAGAUGAGCGGUUGAAGCUCAGUUUCAGCCCAAGCCCUUAAGCUCUACAUGUCAAAGCUCUUUCCUUGAUCAGCUUGUAGAGCAGUUUGAGUGUGGCUUUGAGGGGGUUGUUACUGAGCUUGAAUACAAGGUCUCCUACGGGUCUCAGCCCUUUUGGACUCUUCUGCUCCUGCUCUGUGUGAUGUCGGACAUAAGGUUUUCCUUAUACAGAUUUUUUCUCUAUAGAUUGGAGUUUAAGAAAAAGCUGUCAUCAAGCUAUUCAUUCCUUUUAGCGUGUGGCAGGGUUUGGUCUAUCACAAAGGUAUUGGCACAGAAUCGGUAGGAUGGUCACAGGAGGAAAACAUUUUUGUCUGAUGCUGUCUUGUACGGUCCCACCCAGGUAACCAUCAGUCCCCCUUCAAGGGCAAGGUGCAAACCAUUCAUUUCUUGUUCCACCUCUCCUAUGGUACUUCUUGGAGGAGACAUGAGCCAGUCUCUGGGUACCAGUCAAAUGACACCUACAUCAGUGGCUUAGCAAUGUUUCUCUGGGCUGCGCCUUGGUCCUGAGAGAUGUCGCUUGUGAGUUUGUCACGCAGCAAGAAUUCUAGCUGGGGGACUGACCAUUGAAAAAAAACCCAACAACUGCUGCUGGCAGGUCUGACUGUGUUCAUCUCUUUUGUAUGUCUUUGGGAGCACAGUGACACUUCCAGGGUUUUUGUUUGAAAACUUUGUUGUAAGUUCAGCUAUGAGAGAAGAGGAAAACAGCAAAUAUGCCAGUUCUAUUGAAGUAUAAAAAAUCCAACAAGCAAUCUAAAAUGGCUAAUAAAAUAGUGCCCUGUGCCCCGAACUACAAGCAAGAAAUGUUACAUUGGAACUGAUACUUAAUCUACUGGAUAAAGCAGCUCGUGUCUGUACAUAAAAUUAAUUAGGCACAAAAUACUCUCUACAGGCAAGCAGCCCCCAUUAUCCUGAGGUUUUAUUCUUUUAAGUAAACAGAAACAGAACCAACAUAUUAAAAGUGUGGUCUUCUCCAGUAAAGCAUAUUCUACAAUAUUUUGCUCUCCAUCAUGUAACAGCUACCUUAGGUUACUUAUUGACUGAUGUGUUAUGGAUGAGAGGGUAUCUUGCACCUGUGUUGUCCCUAGUGUCUCCUGAUUUGGAGCUUGGAAGGGGAAUAGAGACAUUUUAUGGCUGUGCCCUUUAGUGGGCUGGGUCUGGUCCAGAAGAAACUGCUGACUCUUACCCUCACCAGUUGUCUCAGAGAACAAGAAGCUACAGAUCUCCACGCAGCAGUAGGAAUAUUAGCACCCAAAGUUGUAGCAUCUGUCUUCCUUCAUAUUAUUGCCAUAUGGCAAAGCCCAGAGUAGGGUCUCAAGUGUAAAUCAAUGAAUGGACUAUUAAGGCUUCAAUUAAUCAAAGCUGUGCUACAAUUUCCUUUCCUCCUAUGUGCCUGCUUCUUUUUCAAGCACACUUGUUAUCUCUUCUCCAUAGAAACAGUCUUUGCUUCAUCUGUGUCUCUUCUCUUCCCAUGUCCUCAUCACUGCUACUCCCAUCCCUGGAGGUAUUUAAAAAAUGUGUAGGUGUGGUGUUUAGGGACAUGGUUUAGUGAUGGACUGGGCUGUCCUGGGUUAAUGGUUGGAUUUGAUGAUCUCCAAGGUCUUUUCCAACCUAAAUGAUUCUGUGAUUCAACGAUUCUUUCCUUCCCUAAACCCCUAGGUUGGUCAAACAACACAUGCUGCUUAUCUCCAUGGCUGGUGGGUUUGUCAUGUUGCUUUACAUGGCAUGAACCACAGAGACCUCAAAAUGAGGGCAAACACAUUUGUAGCUGCCUGCUCUCUGGCUAUGGUUACAUACUGUGGGGCAAGGUAGGGUAUUCAUGGCUUCCUCUGAGCAGAAAGGGCAGCCAGAAAUCGUUUUCAGUCAAGUUUUUACAUGGAAGUAACAUUACAGACUACAUAAAAACAUAAUGGCAUCUUUGCAUGACAGGGUAUACUGUACCGUUGUGUUUACAGAUAUAUCCAUUAGCACUACAACAGGCUUAGCUACUGAAGUCUUGUUCUCAGCAAUUUUCUUUCUUGGCUAAUAAGAAGGCCCACAACACCCAUGGGAGCAGGAUCCUUGGCAGUGCCCUCGUUGUGCAUUUUGCAUACAAUAUUUUGUCAUCUGCUUCUGGGAGGAAAGGUAUGGGCAGGCAGGUGUCAUCCAAAGCCUGCACAUAGUUUGAAUGUUGCAUUGUUGAUAUCCAAAAUGUACAUCACUUUAAAGCUAGUAGUUACUUCUGCCAUACUUUUGAUGCUGGCCUACACUGGGGAAACUUUUGAAGUACAUGGAAGAAACACAGUAAGUAGGAGAUGGACCAUUCACAGGACCCAAUUAGUUAUGGAGCAAAGACAGUUUCGAUUUGCCUCCAGACCACAGGGUCUCAUGUCAGGACAAGUUUGUGCUGUUACACUUUUUGGCUCCCGUGGCACCAGAAGAGCAUGGGACAAAGUAAAGAUACAGAGAAGAGCAAAAAUGUCUCCCCUCUGGAGAGUGGGCAUGGAGGACAGCAUGGCCAGCAAGCCACUUAGCACUAGCGUAGCUCCUGACAUUCUAGUGCCUCAGCUGUUCCCAGGGUGCCCUAAAAAACCUGGACUAGAGAGGAAAUAAGCAUCAAUGAACGCAGCUUUGAAGUAGCUGAGUACUGAUGUCUAGUUGCAAAUCUCCAGUACACAGAGAGAUAGCCUUCCUUUAUUUGCUUUUUUCUCGAAGGAGGUUGUCAUUUAGAUAUAGUGCAAAUGAGCAAUAAGUUCCUCCUUGGGAUUUUUAUGUCCAAAAAAAAACCCCAAAACAAUGCACACAAUACAGACAUUUGUCCAAGAAAACACUGUAUUGCCUUGUGCAAACCAGCUCAACAUCCCACUUCUCUUCAAGGCCAGGCACAAUGAUGGAUUAAGCACAAAGGACGUUGUAUUUCUGUGUGGUAUGGGUGCCACCUCCCAGAUAGCUCCAAGCCCUUGCAAGACGAGCUGUUCCCAGCAGACAGCAACAGGAGGAGCAGGUCUCAGCUGCCCUGUGUGCAGCAUGCCCGGUGGCCUGGGGCAGAGGCAGAUGGAAACCUUCACAGCCUCCUAUUUUAUUUGCUUGUCUUCUUUUUCGCUUGUGUAGGUAAUUAUUUAGGGACUGGUUGAAGGACAGUGUAAACAUCCCCAAGCAGCUGAGGGGAGCACUGCCCCAGGGCAGAGUGGAGGAAGCAGUAAUGUGGCCAACCUCAUCAGGUGUUGCUGUGCAGGUUGUGCCAAGAUAUGUAUAUCACACCGGCCACUCACCUCCAGAAGGGCACAGCCACUCUGUUAAUACUCUCAUUGGGCUGCACUUUUCUGUUACAGUUGGAUCAUUUGAGUGUGAUAAGACCAACAUCUUAAUGAAGCACAAAGAGGCUGCUCUGCUGGCAGACAGGUUGGUGGUUGGGCAGAGGGCUCCAUUGAGAUCCAGAUCUGGUGUCUGUCAGAAAAGAAAUUUUUUCACCCUUAAUGGGCUUGGAUGGCUGAAUUGGAAACGCUUUUUCCAGGUAAAACUAUUUUCCAUUCCAAAAGACCCAGCAAGGUACAAUUUGGGGUUAAAAAGGAGUAUUCAGUUGAUUUGAACGUCUUGUUUACAAAAAACAGAAACAAUGUGUUCAGAUUUUGGCAUAAUGUUUCUUUCACUUUAUAUUAUCAUUUCUAAAGAAAAGGGAGGACUUCAUGCCUAUGACACUCUAUUUUUUCCAUCAUCCUAUCUAAUAAAAGAUAUUACUUCUCCCUGCAAAUCAUGCUUCACUAUAAAAUGAAAUGUUUCAAAACAAACAAACAAAAAAGCCAUUUCAACCCUUUUAUGCUUUUUUGUAAAACCAAACAACUGAAUUUUGUAUUUUUCUUUGGAACGUUUUUAUUUUCUAUCUUUUUGUAUUAAAAAACAUUAUGAAAUCAUUUCCUUUCAUUUUCUAGCUCAGCAAUGAGGCAUUUUCCAGAACAAAAGUAUUUUUUACUCUGUUUUUCCUAAAACCCCAUCAAUUGACCUAGUGCAUCCUAAGGACAUUGAAUCAGUGGUAAACUGGAGGGAGGCUGAGCAAUGUGAUAUAGUAGUUGUCCAGAUUUCUAGAGUCCUUUACUAAAUGUUCAACAGGAUCUGUUUCUAGAAAAAUUAAACAAACAAACAAACAACAAAAGCCACUAAAGCAAAGGAGUAAGCAAGCCUGUAAUUAUUCGUGAGACAAGGUAAAUAGGUAUUUGCAGAACAGCUCAAGUACCAAAGUUCUGUGCAGGCAGUAGACCCAGGAAGUUCUUGUUUGCAUGUUCCCAAGUACCUGGAGCAGCAGUGGAAGGAUUUAGGAAGCUGCUUUUUAUCUCAUUUGUGGUUUUGGUCAGGAUUUCAGUUACUGCUUCUGCAGUUUACCCAGAUCAGCACUUUCCAGUGACUGAGGCUGUAGGUGGCAAACCGGCACUGAUGCCUUCUAUUUCUUGAUUUCAGAAGAGCCUUGCCAUGCAUUUAAUGAUCUUCUCGUGUUGUGCUGCUCUUUCUGUCAUCGUCAGUGAUGCUAAAGCAAAAUGAUCUGUUUGUUACUGGUGAAAACUGAUUCAGGGCUAAACCAGCACAGGAAAAAGAGAUAUGCUGUGUCUGUCAAGAGCUCAUUAUUGAAACAAUAGGAUAUUAAUAAUUUGUUGCUGCUGGAAAAAGCAGAAAGGAAAUGUCAAUAAAAUUUAUCAGUAUGAAUAUUCUCAGAAUAGCUGCAUAUUUAAUUACUGCUUUGGAUUUUAAAGUCUCUUUUUUUUCUCUCUGUGCAAACACAGUUUAUUCAACCAGGUACAGAGUUCCUCUCUCAUCAGAAAGAACAUGAAAGGUCUCUGACCUGCCUGCAUGGGAAGCAAUCUCAAAUAUUUGUGAGUUGCCCUCCUGGGAUUCAAUGAAAAGGAAAAAUUGAAGUGAACAGCAGCAUCUUUGGGAAAAAUGUGCAGAGUGGCUGCGGACAUUUCUUGGCAAUGUUGGUCCCUAAGAAUCCGUCCCUGAAGCCCCAGGUUAAACACGUGGAUUUGGAGAGCUGUGACACAUACGAUCAUACCCUCCUGGAUAGCUCUGGCAGCCUUCUAGCUAGAUUUUGUGGAUUCCACUCUAAGAUGUUUGACUUUUUCUGACCUACAAUGACAGCCCGUGUGUCUAAUGGAGUCACGCCCAUGAGGUCGAAGACACCUAAAAAUGAAGUGCCAUCAUGGCAAGUUAAGCAAAAUACACAGCCUCUGUGUUCUUACCCUUGCUUAUUUACCUCUGUAAGUAGCAGCAAAGCCUUGCAAUCUCCUUGCAGGGAACUUUUUAUCUCUGUGUGCUUGGUUAGCCUCAUUUCCACAGCAACAUGGGACGGAAACCAUCCAGCACAACACGAAAAAGGUAGGAGUUGGCGGUAAUGCUGUAGUCCUCCUUUUAACAUAUGGAGACAUCCAUGCAUAAAUAUUGAUGAAUGUGAGCCACGCUUUGUGACCACCUAUUUUCUUCCCUUCAGUUGAACCUACUGAACUUUUUGUGGUUGGUCUUUGUUGCUUCUCAGAUACUACUUCUGAUUAAUACUGAUGGAACUUGGGCAUGGAAUCUCCAUGGGAAUCUACUCUCUCGUCUCAGAUAUUCAGAUAGUUUGCUUUUCUCAGUACUGCUUUCCUCCCAUUUUCAUUUUUGAGAGCUGCUGGAAGGCUUUGUAGUCUGUACAGUCCUGUACAAAGGUAUCAGUGACAAAGGCAAGCGAGUGUUACUGCUAGUGCCAUCCUGAGCAGUCAGCUGCCACAUCUUACACUUAUUUCCAGUAUCUGUAAAUCCAUAAACCAUGAGAUUCCCGAAGUAAACAAAUGUAAUCUUUUUUUGGGAGAUGGAAUACAUUGGCAGGUAAAUCUUAAUGAUAAUUGCCUCUAAUUGGCACUCCCACCAGAUGACAAAUCUUUUAGUCACAGUGGAGUGUCACUUGAAAAUACAUACUCUUGUUUCACCUUUGAAAACAUCAAAGAAAAAUCAUAUAUAUUGGUUUUACUUUAUUGCUGUAAUUUUUCGUUAGAAGCCGGGGGAAGAAAUGAGGGGUGAAAGGCAGGAAUGGCUAUGAAAAAAUGAGAAAUGACUGGCAAAAUGAGGUCUACUUUGCAUGGAGGAUUUCAGAACAGAUAGUUCUGAAGAAAUCAUCAUUGAAUGUAGGAUAAGGACCAAUGGGUUUCACAGUGAUUUUUAAUUCCCACGAGAGGAAUUUCCAUUUAGGCUAAGGGCUGUUGUGCUCAAAAAGUACAGUUACUGAUCUCAAGUGGGAGUGCUUAUGAAGGGCUGCUGCCUAACCAGCUUGCAUCUUGUGGAAUGAUUACACCUGUCUAAAUAUGGGACUUGGCUCUCAACUUUACAGAAUUAUGCUUUAUUCUUUUACAGCACAUCCUAUCCAUUUUCUCAGAUCUUUCUGAAUCCUCAUCCUAGUCUCCAAAAUGUUUGCAAACAUUUUCCAGUUUUACAUGACCUGUUAAUUCAAUGAGGACAUUCUAUAUUUCUUCAUCCGAGUCAUUAAAGAGAGCAUUUAACAGGACCAGAUGGCUUCUUGCAGCACCCAAUCCAACACCUCCUUUCAGUUUGACACUAAACCAUUGAUAAUUAGUCUUCAAAUUAACUUCCCGAUCCUUCACUUAGCCUAUGCUGUACUCUCUCAUCUUCAACUGUAAACCAGGGAUGACAGCAUUCCUGUAACUCACAGGAUUGCUCUGAGGAUAAAUCUAACUUGUUGUCAGAUCUAAUAUGCUGCAGUGGGCUGAAACCCAGAUUUUGUCCACCUUCCUAUGAUCCAGGCUGUUAGUGACAUUUCCCGUCAUGUACAAUGAAAAGCAACG